GUUUCUUGAUGCCACAGAAGCGUCCCAGACUGGGGGCCCGGCCAUCCUGCCCAUCGUAGAUCUCCAGGUGGUCGUAGGCACACUCCAGAAUUCUAGAUGGCAAAGCUAAAAGGGGAGAAGAUCGGGAGAAAAAAGACGGAUUGGAUCCUGAAAAAGAGACCGCAAUAAUUGGACCUGAGCCCUAGGACCAUGCCUCAGGACCACCUGACAUCACGACUCCUCGCUGUCCCCAGUCCACCUGGCCAUGCUGCUGCUCCAGUUUCAACUGUUCUGCCUGCGGCUAUGGAACCCUGACCUGUUCACUGUGAUUACUAUUAUUUGACCAUGCUGGUCACUUAUGAACAUUUGAACAUCUUGGCCAUGUUCUGUUAUAAUCUACACCCGGCACAGCCAGAAGAGGACAGGCCACCCAUCAGAGCCUGGUUCCUCUCUAGGUUUCUUCCUAGGUUUUGGCCUUUCUAGGGAGUUUUUCCUGAAGUGUACCUAUGUGCUGUGCCACUGUGCUUCUACACCUGCAUUGCUUGCUGUUUGGGGUUUUAGGCUGGGUUGCUGUACAGCACUUUGAUAUAUCAGCUGAUGUAAGAAGGGCUACGUAUAUAAAUCAUUUUGAUUUGAAAAUUUGAUUUAAAUCUGAUACGCUUUUCACCUAGUUGUUUUCCUUUAAAAUGUUUCAUUUAUUUCAUUCUAUGACCCCAAACCCAACACCUAACUGUUCUGUGCUCUUUAUCACCUCCCUGACCAAGGCCCUUCUCCCCCGAUUUCUCAAUUUUUCCGGGAGGCCAGCUCUAGGAUGAGUCUUGGUGGUUCCAAACUUCUUCCAUUUAAGAAUGAUGGAGGCCCCUGUAUUCUUGGGGACCUUCAAUGCUGCAGACAUUUUUUGGUACCCUUCCCCAGAUAUGUGCCUUGGCGCUCUAUGGACAAUUCCUUCGACCUCAUGGCUUGGUUUUUGGUCUGACAUCUUAUAUAGACAGGUGUGUGCCUUUCCAGAUCAUGUCCAAUCAAUUGAAUUUACCACAGGUGGACUCCAAGUUGUAGAAACAUCUCAAGGAUGAUCAAUGGAAACAGGAUGCACCUGAGCUCAAUUUCAAGUCUCAUAGCAAAGGGUCUGAAUACUUAUGUAAAUAAGGUAUGUUUUUUAAACCUGUUUUCACUUUGUCAUUAUUGGGUAUUGUGUGUAGAUUGCUGAGAAAUUUUAACUUAAACCAUUUUAGAAUAAGGCUGUAAUGUAACCUACAGAGGAUGAAGACGUACAGUACUAAGAACUAUUCUGCAUACAAUGGGCACCAUUUCUCCAUCCUCCAACCAUGACUUAUGCUCCACAGUAAGCAUCUGGCACAUUAAUGUCCAAGUGAUAAAGAAUAUCAACAUUUAGUUAGACAGGGACUGAUGAGUGCUUUUCAGCUACACUAGUGUCAAUAUUGGGAUAUUUUUCUCCUGAGAAGCUCAUUAAUCAAUUAUGACAAUAGCAAAGAUGAUUAUUUUGUGACGUGAGACUGUGGAUUGAGUUGUCUAUUGCCUUGAGACUGUCCAGUGAGUGGGAUGGUGAAGUUGUGUGAUUCAUUCUACAUUGGUGUUUUUAGGAGAUGGAUAAGUAAUAACCCCCUGCACUCACCCUCACAGCUGCGUCUGUCUGAGGCGAGCUCAAAGCCAGGGUCACAGGCACAUCGGUAGCUGCCCAGGGUAUUCACACAGCGCUGCUCACAGCGCCCAUUAUCAGGCUUACAACACUCGU